rnacentral:rRNA from 1 species
AUUGAACGCUGGCGGCAUGCCUUACACAUGCAAGUCGAACGGUAACAGGCCGCAAGGCGCUGACGAGUGGCGAACGGGUGAGUAAUGCAUCGGAACGUGCCCAGUCGUGGGGGAUAACGCAGUGAAAGCUGCGCUAAUACCGCAUACGAUCUAUGGAUGAAAGCGGGGGACCGUAAGGCCUCGCGCGAUUUGAGCGGCCGAUGUCAGAUUUGGUAGUUGGUGGGGUAAAGGCUUACCAAGCGGCCGAUCUGUAGUCGGUCUGAGAGGGCGACCAGCCACACUGGGACGGAGACACGGCCCAGACUCCUACGGGAGUCAGCAGUGGGGAAUUUUGGACAAUGGGGGCAACCCUGAUCCAGCAAUGCCGCGUGCAGGAAGAAGGCCUUCGGGUUGUAAACUGCUUUUGUACGGAACGAAACGGCUCUGGUUAAUACCUGGGGCUAAUGACGGUACCGUAAGAAUAAGCACCGGCUAACUACGUGCCAGCCGCCGCCGUAAUAC